UAGUUAUUUUGAUUAACUGUGCCUUAAUCCUGUGAUCCGUGGUGCGUAGUAAUACAUUUUUACAGAAGAAUCCAAGAAGGAUAGUAACUAAAACUCUUUCUUUUGGAAAUGAAGGUUUUAUUUAAUUAGAAGUGAGACUGGUCCGAAAACUUUGUUUCAACACUGUUGUCGUUUUUAAAAUUGCAAAAUACUUCCUCUAAUUACCGCAGGUCAAAUGAGCUGAGUUCCUGUUUUGGCUGACGUAGUUCGAAGUGUUUGUGGACGGUGUUGUGAUGGUGUUAUUUGGUUAAACUUCUUGAGGAUAUUCGUUUUGUGUAUUUCUUAUGACCUAGGUUUGAGAUAACUGAGUGCUCUGGUGGAUGUUGUUGCACGUCACAUUUCUCGGUUCUGAUAUGAGGUCAAGACUUCAUAUUAAGGCAGAAUCAAGUUAGUCAGCAUGUCACUGUUGGCAGAACUGGAGGAACUACAGCGUUGUUUAGAAGGUACUGGUGAUUCAGAUUCUGAAGAAGCAGGCUCUCCUGUAGUCCUAAGUGAGGAAUGUAAGCUUUUUGAGAAGGAAGUUGAGCCAUCACUUACAAGAAAGAAUGAAAGUGGGCCCUCCACCUUGGCACAAAACUCUGCAUCUAAAUAUCCAUCACUUUCAGAAUCUUCUUGUAAAAUAUCAAAUGUGGAGGAAGAAAAUGCAUGCACAGAUGCUGGAAAUAUUGCAACAAAGGAGUUUUCAGUAGGUUUGGGACAAUCUGCAGCAAACUCUAGUAAGUUUGAAUGUUCUGCACAAGUUUCUCAAUCCCGUGCUUCGUCUUGGGGGUCUGUUGAUGACAAAGCCUUUACUUCAGAAGGCUGUAGACAAGGACAAAAAACAUCCGGUGCGCGCACGAUAACAGUGAAAAGUGUUUCCCCAGGUUCUCAAUUGCCACUGGCAAAUUCAAAUAAAGAUUCAGCUAAUGUGAAAGUUUCUGAAGCUGAAAUCCUUGUAGUCUCCAGUGUUGAAAAAUGUUCCCCAUCUAAAAAUGUAAAAAUACUUGCUUUGAAACAAAAUGAGGUACCCUCUUUAAUGCCAGAAGUAAAAGAGCUCUCCUGCAGAGUACCCGACAUCUCAGUAGUAAAAGAAGGUUUGUUAAAUGCUGUUUCACAGUCAACACAUGUAAGCAAAAUGGACAGAGGUUCACCGGUUUCAGAUUCCAAAGUCGUACCAGUUCCUUCUUUGGCUUUGGUGAAUGAGGAAGAAUUGAUUGUUAAGAAAGUAAAACUGGAAGAUAAGAAGGAUGCUGAUGAUAGUGCACUUGAAAUCUUGAAAGAACCUCCAUUGGAUUUACAGACAGAUGCAAACAGAGGUAAAAAAGCUGUAGUUAUGCUGACAUCUCUAGUCAUUGAUAAGAAUAAGAUGCAAGAAGUGAAACUGCUGGGCCCGAGAGUAAAGUUACAAGCUGCAGAGUCUGAUUUCGUAGCUAGUAAUAAACCUGAAAGUGAAUCCAGUGACGUGCAACAGCACUCCUCCGCCUUAAAAGUUGUCAGAUCGUGUAUGAACAGCUCACAGGGCAGAAAACCUGACUUAGAACACAUACGUGGGGUUGGUACUACUUGUGAUGUUCAGCCAACAUCGGACAGCCCUGUGUUUAGUGUGGACUCAAAAAUAUCAAGUCUGGAAGAUUUGAAAAUAUUAAAUGGUGGACCUCCCAUAAAAAUAGUGGAAGUUUUGUCAGAUUCUAACAAAACUGAAAAUAAAAUGGUUGGAAUUUCAACAGGGUCUUCUGGUUCAGUAUUUAUUAGCAAAGCAAAUGUUCUCAGGGAAGCCAGUUUUGUGAAUAGUCCACCAGUGGUUACGAAAAGAAAAAUGUCAUUUGACACUGGUCCAGAUGUCGGCCACAUUCUUGGAGAGAAAUUCCCACUAGUUUCUGUUGACGCUUCUGAAUGUAGAGUACCUGAAGAACCAGAAACAAACAAUGCAGAAUCAAACACCAAUAAGAGGAAAAUUUCUACAGAGACUGGGCCUCUGCCUUCAAACACUGCUAUCUCAGAGCUGGUUUCUGGAGAAAAAUUUUCGUUAAUGUCUUCAGAAAGUCAGAAGGAUAUUUCUUCUAAAACACCUGAGCCAAAAUUACUUGAUGUUUUUGUGAAUGAAAAAAAAGGGUCUGUGGAUUCUGAAUCUCUUUCCUAUAGUGCUACAUUGGGCCAGAAUUCAAAAGAGUUGUGUCGGAAGUUGGGACAUAAGGAAGGAAUUUUUUCCAAAGGUUCUAAUCUAGUAGAUGCAAAAAGACAUUUUGACACACCGCUUUUAAAGAAAAGAAGAGCCUCGUAUGAUCCACUAGAAAUGAAUCCAGCUUCUCGACUCAAAAGACGAAAACGUUCAGCUUCUGAAGUUACUGAUCUGGUUGGAGAGGUAACAUUGAAUUCUGAGUCUGGUGCACAAAAUCCAGGCAGGGUUAAUGUGGCACGAGCACCUACGACUAAGACAGUUCCCAUCACGUCGACUAUGGAGGUGACUAUAUCACCGCAUGGGGUUGAACAGAAUAUGCAGACAAUUCCUGUAAGUAAAUCUGAAGAAAACAGAGUGCAUGGUGAUGAUGCAGCAUUAGAGAAAGAGGGUCCCUGUAAGAAAUUGAUGGAUGCAAGGAUUGUUUUGAAGAAACUCAGCAUACCAGUACCAGAACACAUUCUGCCAUUAUCAGCCCAAAAUGAGAGAAUUGGAAACACAAAGCAGAAAUUACACAAAACACUGGAAGAAGUUUCAACAGUGUUGCAGGAAACUCUGAUUGGGAGUUCAGCAGUGAAUAAGAGGAAAGUUGGCAAACCAAAGAAAUUUCAGGAUCAUUUAUUGGAACCAAUAAAGGAACAGAAAGUCAUGAGAAGGCUGGCCUUGCAGCAGAAAAUUAUAGCAAAACCAGAAAAACAGAAGCUUAUGGGAAAACAAACUCACCAUAAAAUUGUAGGAAAAACAUCUCAGCUGAAAAUCAUGAAAAAAUCAUCACAACAGAAACUUGUUGCAAAACCAAAACAACAGAAAAAUAUCAGGAAACCAGUGCAACAACAAGAGUCUGUUUCAAAACCAAAGACAUUCCGGAGAACCUCAUCAACAAACCUGCCGAGCAUUGCAGUCAGAAUAGGCGUGAAGAGGAAGAAGAAGAAAGUAAUACCAAAGAAAGUGGUAUCUAGCAAGAACAAGACAAAGUCGCAAAAAGUGGGGCCCUCCACCAUGGCUAAGAAGACCAUAAAACAAAUCUCAUUUGCAAAUCCGAGAUACAAACAGGGCACGAAGUUGGCCGUUAACCGAAGACCAGAGGAUAAGACGAAGAUUGUGGCCAUGCAGGACAAGAAUGUGGCCUUAAACAGAAGUAAAGAAAACAAUUUUCAUAGGAAAGACAAGAUGAUGGUUCCAAAAUUGGAAAUGGUGCCGCUUCUUAUGAAGGUCAAAGAGUCUGAUUUGAGAGCAGCGAAGACAGUUCGGCAGAAGAACCCAGUGGCAGUGAAGAAACAGCCGGCACCAAAGAAAGUUUACUCUGAUGACAAGAAGACAAAGAAAUCACGGCAAAUUCCUGUUGAGCCAAGCAAGCUAGAUGGUGGCGACUCUGUUGCAGAUGAUGAGUGGAUUGUAGAGGUGUUACUUGAUGACACUGAAAUAGAUAUGAUGGCAGUAACAUCUCAGGUUGAGGUAGGUCAGGAUGCAAACAUUAGCAAAGUGAGUUCUAGUGAUGAUAGGCUAAAAGAAUUGCUCGUGAGCAGUAGUGUCUUGGGCGCCGCUUGUUCGUUCGAGUGCGACUCAAGUACUGAUAUGAACAGGGGCAGGAAGACUGCCUUUAGUGGGGAUAAAAUAUUGAGGAGAACCAUUAGCGCUAGCAGAGGUAAGGCAAAUGGAACAUUCUUAGACACAAAUGUGAAACCAAUAAUGGCAUUACCAGAUAUGAAGCAGGCGUUGAGUUCAUUUAACAUAGAUGAACGGACUAGCAUUUCUGCAGAGAAAAAGAUGGUAGAGAUGAGAAAGGCAAUUGGUGAUUUGGAACGGAUUGCUGACAGGAGCAUGCUCCGUCUGAAGGCGGAGGAAAGGCAGGUGAUGUACCUGACCAGCAGACUCCAUGAGUAUGAAAAUGACAAGCAUCACAGAAUGUUAAGGACAGUCUUGAGGGAUGGUGCACCAGGGCCAAAUCAGAAUCCUGAUGCCAUGUUUAUUCUGGACCUGCUCCUGAGCUACUGUCCUGAAGACAGUGCAUCAGUAAGCAGCUAAGUAUGUGUGAUUCUAUGAAAAUUUAAAAUAAAUGCUAACCCUACAUAUUUCUCAAGUUGUUACUCUUCAAAGUUUUGUUUGAGCGUUUGCCACACUCAAAGCAGUAGAACAUGUUGAAAUUGUGGUUUGGAAAAUAAUGUUUCCUUGUUGCAUACCGAGCUCAGACAAAUCUUAUAAUGUUUGCUAUUGAUAUCUUAAAUCUUUUCAGUGUGUUCUGUACCUGAUAAUUUAUAAGUUCAUCAAACACUGUGCUGUUGAAGCCUGCAUCUUAUGUGCCAGAAUUAAUAUUUUAUUUGGCUGGGCAAGUUAUUUUGUUACUAUUUCUACAUGAGCUUCAGAAGAAAUUAUUUGCAUUUAAUUAUUGUGUUGGAGUGCAAUGAACUAGAAGAAAUUUUUGUCUUUGUAUGAACUAUCCUAAAAUAUAAGAUGGCUGUCUUCUGGGUUGUAGCACUGUGUACUUUGGUAGAAACUUAUCAACAUUUCAGAGUUCCAUGUGUUGUUAAACUUCUACCAGACUACAUGGUGCUUCAACUCAGAAGACAGCCGUCUUUGGAUUCACCACUGUGAAAUCCUCAGAUCCCGCUAGCUUAAAAUGAUAUUUAAAUUAAAUUGAAUAUUAAGAAUUAAACGUGUCUCACUAGACUGACAGCUGAUCUCUUUGGAAUUUUGAAACACUGUGACUAUCAGCAGCAUCCAAGUCUUUGAUGCCACUAUAGGAACAGUCUUUUGUUAUAAUUUGUAAUGAAGGAAUUUGUUGGUUCAUGUAAUGGCUAGCUUCUUUGCUAGCGUAAGUGCCUUCAUUGAUUUAAAGUGUGACUGUUUUUAUAAAGUGUUACUCUGCCCAUGUAGCGCAGGUUUGCCACAUUGGAACAGUGGAUCAGUUAACAGCACUUUGUAAUGUUGUAUAUGUCCUAAUGACAACAGAUAGCGAGCCCGCCUGGAGCCACCUGGCGGGCUCGUGUGUUCUUUUUAAGAGCAACAGUGUGUACAGGAAUAUUUUGUGUCUAAUGUAAUUUUAACUGUGUCUAUUAUGAAACACACAGAGUAUAAUAAAUUGAUUCUUUAUGCAGCCCACUGUGGAGCCCAUCGAAUUGGGUUUUGGUGAAUCCCAUAGAUUAUUUUUUCGUGUUAAUACAUUUUUGUGGUUUAUAUUUUUCUUUUCUUAAUUUUUUGUGUUUGGAAUAUAAAAUAGCAUGUAGCUAACAGAAUGCAUAGUUGUGUCAGGAAGGUUUUUCUGCAGUUCUAAUGCUUUAAUGUUUUGUACCACGCUGUCUAGGAUCAUCUUGUUGCUGAUAUUACAGUUAGCUUAAUUAUCACCUCUUCUAAUAUCCACAUAUGUAUUUACUUUUCUUUUGCCAAAUUUACAUAUUUGUUACAGUUUCUCAUGUAGUUGCCUUCCAACAUUGCUGCCUAGUGGGAUUUUUAUCCUGAUCAGACAUGGACAUCUUGUGCUUUCUUAUUAUACACCGGUAUGUCUGGUUUGUUGACCACAUUAUUUUGUUUAUAAUGAGUACUCUUCCUCUGUGACUUGUAAUUUUGUUGUUUAUAAAAUGAAAUGGUUGAUAUUUGUACAGUGGUAUUAUUGUUAUUAUUGUUUGUAUUAUUAUUUACUACUACUACUUAUUUUGCUGUUAUCGUCAUCAUUAAGAGUGAUUUUAAUUCAAGCUGUAAUUUAUGUAAUAUUGUAUGUCAGUUGUUGGUUCCACUGACUGCUAGCUACAGAUCUGUGCUAUCAUGUCCUAAAAGUGUUAAUUUUAAUUUCACCACUGUGAUUUUACUCAGGCCUCUCCUGUUGACCAGUUAUCAUUGUGUAGUUUUUAUAGAGGUUUGGAAGGAAACAUUUUGACAUGUGGCUUGCCCUUGGAGAGAAAAUGGUAAAUUGUGAAUGACCUCAACUAGUAUUUGAACUGUGUACUUCCCAGUUUCAAAUCCACUUUAGCUUAUCUAUGAAAAGUACUAAAUAUAACCCCACAGUGAGGAUGUUUCCAUUGCUUUCAGUACAGUGGCUGAUAUUCUGUUGGAAUGUCAAAUAGCAAAUACUGGGAGUGGUGUGUACCAACAUUGAGAGAUAAUUCUGAUAGUUGAUAGGCUGUUAUCAGUCUUGACUUCCAUUUGCAACUUGAACAGGUAAGCUGCAAAGUUUGAACAGGUCCUAUGUCUUGGUGCAGUGGUGGACAAUUCCUUUUCGUAGGAAGUUUGUCUUCGCAUUUGUUUUGUCAAAGAAAGUGUGUGUAUCUCCUCUAAAUAAAGAGGGAAAUAUUUUAAUCUUUAGAACUGGGCAGAGAAAACCCAGCAUUGGUCUUAACUGUAUGUAGAAGUAGGUAAUAUCACGUUUGAUGCAUGAAUUUCACAGUGAAAUUAAGAGGACAGGCAGUUAAAUAAAUUAAUUGUUGUUCUUGUUGUUAUAAAACUUAUUUUAUUUUAUUUUAUUUAGAUAUGGUACUGUCUGGGCCUCCAAAUUGCAUUGGCCUGGGUUUAGAUCAGAGGAAAUAAGAAAUACAUGCCGAGUUUUGACUGGGGAAAUUUGUGGGAAAAUCACUUGGGAGAGCUACGUAUAGAUUUGAAGAUGUGAAGUGUAUUGAACUAACUAAGGAUGUGGUCAAGUGGGGGACCGUUGUGAACACAGUAAUGAAUACUCUGGUUCCAUAAAAAGUUAACAAAUUGCUUGGCUGCUUCAGUAAGUGUUGACUGCUUGAUGAAGUCAGUGUAACCCUGGAGUGAGCCAUCUUCGAGCGGCUCGUAUUGUAAGCAGCCAAUCCGAAGACCAGAAUCUGAGGUCAUUGGAUAAUAUUAAACUGGAUAUUAAACAUGAGAGAAUGUGGAUAUGGAUGUGUCCAGUGGUGGGCUUUUUAAUAUUUGUUCCACAGUUGUGAUUAUGGACCAGCCAUGUAAUAAGCAUAGAUGAGAAAUGCAUAUAAAAUGUUAUUAGGGAAAUUGCAUGGUAAUAGCAACAAACGUAAUGAAGAGGUAAACCUUAAGUUGUAUUCAAUUGUUCUGUUGGUGAGUCAUGUUGGAUGUUAGGAUUCUGAUGUCAGAUUGUGUCAAUGGUUUGAUGUGUCCAUAUGAUAUUUAUGUUAUACAAUUCCUCUGUAAUAUUCUGUUGGAGCCAGCAAGCAUCUGGAAAUUUUUCAAUUGGUUCACAAUCGUAGUUCAAGAACUGCUGAAUGAAACAUACAUUUCUAGUGAUUAUUA